CUUGCAGCCAACCUUGGGGUGGGGCAGGGCUGCUUGGCACACACAGACAGGCAGGGCACAGGGUGGGAGCCAGGUGUCCUCACCAGGACAGGUUAGGGCCAGGCCCCCAGGCACAGCUCCGGGACAAAACCAAGGCCUCUGACAACAGUUGGUGAUCAUGCCCUGCUGCCAGUGCCAGCCAUGAAGGUAGAGGUGGAAGACACAACACAAGGUUGUGGACUUCGACCUAAACGUUUCUCAGAUGAGAAAACUGAGAGCCAGAGCUGGGAGGCUCUUGCCUCAAGCCAGAUGAAGAACUUAGAUCACGAGUCUUUGUUCUUUCCUCAGUAUUAGAGGUGAGCAGUGUCAGGGUAGAAUCUAGUGGCCACGAGGGGCUGCCCAGCCGUCUGAGGGGCCCUGGCUAGGUGUGGAGUGCCCUCGCCACCCUGCUGUGCUCUGAGAGUGACAAGUGCCCCAGGCCCUCACGCCGCCCAGCUCCGGGGAUGGGGACCAGGCACAAGGAGGCCUGACAUCCUUCCGAGCAUCUUUACCUCCCUUGAAUGUGUCAGUUCCCCAGGGGCAACUGCAGCCCGAGCCAAGAGAUGGCCCCGACCUUCAGGAAAAGAAAAUGGAGCAGAGGGGAGUGACACCUACUUAUAAAGCCAGAGCUGAAGAGUGA